CACCGCGGUCAAACGAGCUAGCGCCCAAGCGGAUGACCACCGGCGUAAAGAGUGGUUAAGGAAACCUCCCUACUAAAGCUGAACACCCACAAAGCUGUGAUACGCAUCCGAUGGUCUGAAACCCCACCACGAAAGUGGCUUUAAUCAACCUGAACCCACGAUAGCCAGGACA
rnacentral:rRNA from 1 species